rnacentral:rRNA from 1 species
UACAGGGGGUGCAAACGUUGCUCGGAAUUAUUGGGCGUAAAGCGCGCGUAGGCGGCUACUUAAGUCGGAUGUGAAAGCCCUUGGCUCAACUGAGGAAGUGCACCCGAAACUGAGUGGCUAGAGUACGAAAGAGGGUCGCGGAAUUCCCGGUGUAGAGGUGAAAUGCGCAGAUAUCGGGAGGAACACCAGUGGCGAAGGCGGCACUCUGGGCCGGUACUGACGCUGAGGAGCGAAAGCGUGGGGAGCGAACAGGA